AUCCAGCUGACGAGUCACAACUAGGACGGAACAUGUGUCCUGAAU
rnacentral:hammerhead_ribozyme from 1 species